rnacentral:tRNA from 1 species
GAUUAUAUAGUUUAAUAUAAAACAUUAAUUUUGUAAAUUAAUAUUAAAAUAAAAUUUUUAUAAUCA